rnacentral:rRNA from 1 species
CCUACGGGAGGCAGCAGUGAGGAAUAUUGGUCAAUGGGCGAGAGCCUGAACCAGCCAAGUCGCGUGAAGGAUGAAGGAUCUAUGGUUUGUAAACUUCUUUUAUAUGGGAAUAAAGUGAGGAACGUGUUCCUUUUUGUAUGUACCAUAUGAAUAAGGAUCGGCUAACUCCGUGCCAGCAGCCGCGGUAAUACGGAGGAUGCGAGCGUUAUCCGGAUUUAUUGGGUUUAAAGGGUGCGUAGGUGGUUUAUUAAGUCAGCGGUGAAAGUUUGUGGCUCAACCGUAAAAUUGCCGUUGAAACUGGUAGACUUGAGUACAUUUGAGGUAGGCGGAAUGCGUGGUGUAGCGGUGAAAUGCAUAGAUAUCACGCAGAACUCCGAUUGCGAAGGCAGUUUACUGGACUAUAACUGACACUGAAGCACGAAAGUGUGGGGAUCAAACAGGAUUAGAUACCCGGGUAGUC